GUGGAAGCCCUAAACGUGUAUAAUCACUAAAGGGAGAAUUGAAAGUAAGUUUCAAUUCACAAUGGAUUUGAAAUGGUUUUAAUCGCCCACUGCCUCGCUAAAAGGAACCUAAUGGAUCGUACACCGUGUAAGGUAGAGAUUGAAGAAACAAUGGAGAUGAGUAAGAAUAAUUAAAUGGUUUAAUUAUUUAUGGCAAGGAUUAAUUAAUAUGUUAAUUAAUCAAACGAAUAAGUUCGUUAAAGACCUCGGGAUAGUUUUGGACCUUAAGGCCCAAUGGGCUUCGAACGUCAAGCCCAUUGACUUAAGUUGUAUGACAACUUAAUGAAUAAUGAUUCACAAAGGCCCAAUUAGCCCAAUAAUACCCUAAGGCCGGCCUGUUAGAGAUGGAGUGAGUUUUGGACUUAUUUACAAGUUUGCCACUCAAUGAAUUAAGGUAUAAAUAUGACUUUAUAGCCAAAAUUCAUUUAGGGUUUUCUUUUGGGGAAAGGAUGAGAACAUAAGCUCUCCUUUCUCUCAAAAGUGGCCAGCCUCCUUGGAGGGUUUAGCUAGCAAUCCUACUACUCCAAGGUCACUCAUUUCUUCUCCAAUCUAACCUUGGUGAAGAGACUUAGAGGUUCUCAAUUUUGGGAACUUGGAGAACCAUUUCAUCCAUCCAAAUCCAUAGAUCUAAGAUGCAAGGAAUGAAGGCCCUCUCUUUGGGUGAUUAGCCUUUGCUUAUGCAAAGAGGAAUCUACAAAGGUAUAAUUUCUCAACUAACAAAUGUUGUUUUGAGUUGAGUCUUGGUUCACCCAACUACAGGCUUUGAAUUUCAUGGUUAAUGUUUUGUUUUUGAGUGCAUGCAAGAAUGAUUCCGCCUUUUAAUUGUUAAUUGCAUGUUAUAGAUGUUGCUCAAAUGAACAUGUUUUCACAAAAUAAUCCUUCAAGUGGUAUCAGAGCCUAAGUCUAGUAGUUGGUGAAUCAUUUUGGGUUUUGUAGUUCAUAGUCUUUGAUUUAAAUGUUGUAAUAUGUUACAAGCUUUAUUCUUGUUUCUUUGAAUGUAAAUUUUGUUGGAAAAUUUGCCAUCUCAAAUGUUGUAGAUGUAGUUCAUAUGAGCAUGAAUAUUGGAGCUAAAAUUUGGUGCCAUGUUUUUGGGAAAAUUCGGCCAAAUCCAAAGGGUGGAUUUUUGGGUUCAUGUUUGACUUGUUAAAAGUGUUUUCAAGUGACUUUUGGAACCCCUAUGUACCCUAGUUUGGUUAUAUGUUAUUUCCCUUAAGUUUGAAUGGUUUUGGGAUGUUUUUGGGUGAAAAAUGUUCAUGGAAAUUUUUUAAGUUUUUCAUGAAUGUUCUUCAUUGUUCUUGACAUUUUUCCCAAGAACAAAAAGUUUGGUGUUUUGAUUCAAAGUUUCAUUAUGAAUGCAAAUAUAUUGCCAUAUAGAAGCUUACAAACAAUGUUGUUUGGAUGGGAAAGUUCAUUCAUGAACUCUCUAUUCGGUUCCAACCAGAAAGUGUCUCUAGUGUACCGACACUACGACACUAAUAGGGCGAUAGCUCAAUCCAGGGAAUCAAGGUCUCAUCAAGAUCCGAACUCAAAUGAGAGACUGAACCACAUGAUUAAGAAUCAUGUAUAAUGGUGACGUCGUUAUUCUCAAGGUUGCUUCUAUGGAUAACAUAUAGAUAUCCAUUGUCUAGGCCUACUACUCAGCCAUUUAUGAAAUGACUACAGAAGAGGUAUCAUCACUGAUGACCAAGCUGAUUCGCUCUAGUGCAAGUGGGAGAUUGUUGGAAAUGUGCCCUAAAACCAAUCAUAUGAUGAUACUUUACGGACAUUUCACAUGUUAAACUAAUCUAGUUUAAUAUCAAGGGCAAAGAUUGUUGUUUGAGCCGUCUCAUAUAAAUGUUAUACGCUUAAACGAUAAGUCCAAGGAAUAUGUGAUUAGGAGAAUGCGAUCUAAAGAAGUUAGAUUCAUGAGACCAUUCUUUCGUAGACACAUCCAAAACGUUCAUGAUCAUAGGAUUGCCAAUUGGGCAUUGACAGUCCGUUAAGAUCAGUACGUGUUGUGUCUUCUCUCAGGGAGAGUGACUAGUCUCGAGUCAUUGGUGUGUGUGACAUCAAGAAAAGUACGUAGGUGCUCAAUAGAGAAUGAGUUCCCUGAACACGAUCAACGAAGAGUUCUCAUACUCAUGUCACAUGAGAACUCAUGGUUGGGAUAAUGCAAAGUAGUCCUUUGACCUGAGGCAUCAUAGUUGUCUUGUGGUUAGGUCCUUGAUCUUUGAUUAUGUCAAAGUCACCCCAUCCGCGGGUGUCCACGGCAUCGUCGGGGUUAAGCCACUUAGCCAUGGAGGCAAGUGAAUGCACAACAAGGUAUCUCUAACCUUCAAACCGUUUGGAGGAGAAUACUCUAUGAUAUGAUUAAGAAUCUCUGGCCAGAGUAUGAAUGAGAUUGAGGAAGUCGUUCCAAAUCACAUUCAAGGUAAUCAUAUAAGCACACAAAUAACAUUGGAUAUUAGACAUGAAUAAACUAUCAAACCAAACAAUGUGGUCAAGAGUAUUGUAUUAGAGAAAGACCGUAUUGCAUUUGUAAUCCUAAACUGAAUAGGUUAUCCACCUCUUCUGAUUAGCUUGGGUAACCAUGAUAUGCUGCUAGGUGUCACUCAUGGUUUGUGGAAGCCCUAAACGUGUAUAAUCACUAAAGGGAGAAUUGAAAGUAAGUUUCAAUUCACAAUGGAUUUGAAAUGGUUUUAAUCGCCCACUGCCUCGCUAAAAGGAACCUAAUGGAUCAUACACCGUGUAAGGUGGAGAUUGAAGAAACAUUGGAGAUCAGUAAGAAUAAUUAAAUGGUUUAAUUAUUUAUGGCAAGGAUUAAUUAAUAUGUUAAUUAAUCAAACGAAUAAGUUCGUUAAAGACCUCGGGAUAGUUUUGGACCUUAAGGCCCAAUGGGCUUCAAAAGUCAAGCCCAUUGACUAAAGUUGUAUGACAACUUAAUGAAUAAUGAUUCACAAAGGCCCAAUUGGCCCAAUAAUACCCUAAGGCCGGCCAUUUAGAGAUGGAGUGAG
rnacentral:lncRNA from 1 species